rnacentral:rRNA from 1 species
UACGGGAGGCAGCAGUAAGGAAUAUUGGUCAAUGGGGGCAACCCUGAACCAGCCAUGCCGCGUGCAGGACGACUGCCCUAUGGGUUGUAAACUGCUUUUGUUAGGGAAUAAACCCCGCUACGUGUAGCGGGCUGAA